rnacentral:lncRNA from 1 species
UAGAUUGGUUUUGUUUUUUUUGUUUUUUGAUUCUCUAAUCCUGUGUGCAGUUGAAGAUCAUUCUCUUGCGCUUUAACAGAAUGAAGUGUUUACAAAGGCCCUCAAAUGUUUUAAAUAACCUGAAUAUGCACACCAAAGCUUUCCUGAGGGGUUUUAUAAUCAUCUUACCGUAAGGUUUGUCAGGUUCUAAAACAGUUACUGAGGCAAUCUUACAUUGAGACUAUUGUGUAAUGUAGCCCAUGGUACCUUUAUAAAAGAAGUGACUGCCGAUAUAUUUUUAUAGUGAAUCUUUAUAAAUUCUAAUGUUGAGUUUUUAAUGAUUAUUUUAAAUGUUUAUAUAGUUUGUUUAGCAAAAAAAAUUUUGUAUCUCAAAGUAUCAUUUUUAUAUUAUGAGAAGAGUAAAAUUUUCAAAUUGGCUGAUAAUUGAAUUGUAUGUUUUAUAUAAAGUUUUAUCU